GAGACAUAUGUGAGGGGUGAUGAGCAGAGUACAGAGGACAUUCCUACAGAUAACCGCCCAGAUGACUGUACCAGGAACUUAAAGAAACAUUUGGUAUCUUCAGAUUUUGAAGUAGAUGAUUGUGGUAUCACACGAGAUACAUUUGAAGAGCAUGCCAAUGUCCAAGAUAUACCCUCAUCCAAUCACAGCAACAAUGCAUCAUUUGAUUCUUUUAAACAGGUCCAAUCUUCUGAUUCAUCACAGACUGU